AGGCAGCAGUGAGGAAUAUUGGUCAAUGGGCGGAAGCCUGAACCAGCCAAGUCGCGUGAGGGAAGACGGCCCUACGGGUUGUAAACCUCUUUUGCCGGGGAGCAAUGCCCAGCUCGCGAGCUGGGAAGGAGAGUACCCGGAGAAAAGCAUCGGCUAACUCCGUGCC
rnacentral:rRNA from 1 species